UAUUGUGUGUUGUGUUAUUGUGUUUUAUUAUUAGUGUCUGUGUAGUGGAAACGCCUUGCAGCUAAUACUGAAGCUCCUGCUGCGCGUGCUUACCACUCCAUGACAUGUAUUGGCCCACGUUAUCUCUUAUUUGGUGGCUUUGAUGGAAAACUCACAUUUGGUGAUCUAUGGUGGUUAGUUCCUGAAGAUGAUCCUAUUUCAAAGCGAUCAGAAGUAAUUCAAGAGACCCGGAAUGACUUCCAAUCUGAAACAAAGG